AUUGACACUGCAGAGUAAGAUGAGCUGUAAAGAGUCCGCAAUUAUUCCGCACGUCAGUUUCUCCUUAGAGCGAAGCAACUCAGUGCAAUCAAGUGAAAAUGAGGUGAUUCCAGAAAGAGGACAACUGCACAGCUCCUGCUCAUGGUUACCACUCACUCUGCAAUCAUUAUGAAGGGCCCCCGUGGUACCCAGGCCGGGUACUAAAGAGAUGGACGGUCCACGAACUGGCCCCUCUGGCAGUCAAAGCCCAGAGGAGAGGGAGGCACAGGCCACACAGUGAGGUCUCUACUGAGAGGAAAACAGUGUGCCUGGUUAUCAGGAUCAAAGUCAUCUGCCUUCGGCAGUGGGAGGGUGAGACACUCUGCUGGUGAAAGGGGCAUCACUGUGACAGGUACUGGAUGGCACCAAGGAAUGGCUUUGAGAUCCAUUAGCGAGUCCCCUCACCAUCUAGCCACUAGAGAUAAAGUAGUUUCUAGGCAAAAGUAAUUAAAAAUGUUAUAUUUAAAAUAAAAAUUAUAUUUAUUUACUUCA